GGUCCCUGAGAUCCUCUCUCUGCUGCCUGAUGCUCACUGCGCUGAGCCCCACGACAGAGCAGCCUCGGUGGACUCCUGGUCCCAUUCACCCAGCUGUGGGUGUGCUGAAGUCUAAGUUCUUGUCAACCAGUAAUUCUGAGAAAACCUGGCACUGUGACCCUUUGACCCCGGAAUUCACAUCUGCCCUGUGGUGAAGGCACCUCCUGGCCAUGGGCUCCAUGAUAGCCAUCCACUGUAAGCCCACCUGCAGGAAGAGCUCAGGAGCCACUUUGUGGACAACACCUGAGGAAUGUGCACACUCCUACUGCACAUGGCAAGGCAUCACUACCAGUAUUAACCAUGCGAAGUCAAUGUCAAUCCUGGAGCUCAGCUCAUGGCAUCUCUCCAGCACCACACUUCUCAUUCACAGCUUGGUGCUGGGAUCAUCCCACACCAGGUGAGGGCAGCUGCUUCCCUGCCAGCCCAGAGAGGCUUCCAGGGAGGGAUAGUGUCUCCAGGCACAAAGCAGGUGGCUGUGGACAGCAAGUUCACUGGGAUAUGGCAGAGCAGCUCAGCAUCACUUACCAGCUUCUUUCUUGGUGGCAGAAGACAGUGUGGCAAAAUAUUCUUGAAAAUUAAAGCACCAGUCAUUUCUGACAUUUAUUUUUUGUUCCUUCACGCUUAAUGUUAUUCAGAUACUUGAAACUGCAGU
rnacentral:lncRNA from 1 species